GCAUUAAUGGGGUAGUGGUAACCUGGGUCGUUGCCAUGCGGAAUCACGCGAUGUAUCAACGUGUCGACCCGCCGGGGGUUCGAUUCCCUCUUAAUGCA